rnacentral:tRNA from 1 species
AGAGGCCUUGGCUUAAAUUAAAGCGGUUGAGUUGCAGUCAAUAGAUGUGAAUUAGAGUUUUACAGGUCU